rnacentral:rRNA from 1 species
UACGGGGGGGGUAAGCGUUGUUCGGAAUUACUGGGCGUAAAGGGCUCGUAGGCGGCCAACUAAGUCAGACGUGAAAUCCCUCAGCUUAACUGGGGAACUGCGUCUGAUACUGGAUGGCUUGGAUCCGGAAGAGGGAUGCGGAAUUCCAGGUGUAGCGGUGAAAUGCGUAGAUAUCUGGAGGAACACCGGUGGCGAAGGCGGGUCUCUGGGCAACAACUGACGCUGAGGAGCGAAAGCGUGGGGAGCGAACAGG